GUUCAGGGCAGGGUACUGGACGGUGGUCAGCUAGUAACAGUGUCUAAGUUCAGGGCAGGGUACUGGGCGGUGGUCAGCUAGUAACAGUGUCUAAGUUCAGGGCAGGGUACUGGGCGGUGGUCAGCUAGUAACAGUGACUAAGUUCAGGGCAGGGUACUGGGCGGUGGUCAGCUAGUAACAGUGUCUAAGUUCAGGGCAGGGUACUGGGCGGUGGUCAGCUAGUAACAGUGUCUAAGUUCAGGGCAGGGUACUGGGCGGUGGUCAGCUAGUAACAGUGUCUAAGUUCAGGGCAGGGUACUGGGCGGUGGUCAGCUAGUAACAGUGUCUAAGUUCAGGGCAGGGUACUGGACGGUGGUCAGCUAGUAACAGUGACUAAGGUUCAGGGCAGGGUACUGGACGGUGGUCAGCUAGUAACAGUGACUAAGGUUCAGGGCAGGGUACUGGACGGUGGUCAGCUAGUAACAGUGACUAAGUUCAGGGCAGGGUACUGGACGGUGGUCAGCUAGUAACAGUGUCUAAGUUCAGGGCAGGGUACUGGACGGUGGUCAGCUAGUAACAGUGACUAAGUUCAGGGCAGGGUACUGGGCGGUGGUCAGCUAGUAACAGUGACUAAGUUCAGGGCAGGGUACUGGGCGGUGGUCAGCUAGUAACAGUGUCUAAGUUCAGGGCAGGGUACUGGGCGGUGGUCAGCUAGUAACAGUGUCUAAGUUCAGGGCAGGGUACUGGGCGGUG